GAGUUUGAUUCUGGCUCAGGAUGAACGCUAGCGAUAGGCUUAACACAUGCAAGUCGAGGGGCAUCACGGGAUUAGCUUGCUAAUCUUGGUGGCGACCGGCGUAAGGGUGCGUAACGCGUAUGCAACUUGCCUGUCAGUGGGGAAUAACCCGGAGAAAUCCGGACUAAUACCGCAUACACUUUAGUUUCCGCAUGGGGACUUUAGGAAAGAUUUAUUGCUGACAGAUAGGCAUGCGUUCCAUUAGAUAGUUGGUGAGGUAACGGCUCACCAAGUCAACGAUGGAUAGGGGAGCUGAGAGGCUUAUCCCCCACACUGGAACUGAGACACGGUCCAGACUCCUACGGGAGGCAGCAGUGAGGAAUAUUGGUCAAUGGGCGAGAGCCUGAACCAGCCAAGUCGCGUGAAGGAAGACGGUCCUAUGGAUUGUAAACUUCUUUAGUAGGUGAGUACCAAGCAGUUACGUGUAGCUGUAAAGCAAGUACCUAGAUAU
rnacentral:rRNA from 1 species